ensembl:lncRNA
UGUUUCUCUGAAUGUCCUCAAAUGGUGAAUUAACAGUAGCUCUUAACAUUAAUGCAUUGGCAGUGUGUGUGUGUGUUUGAGAGAGAGAGAGUGAGAGAGUGAGUGAGUGAGUGAGAAAGCCUGGCAGGAGAUAACAGAAAAAAUAAAUUCAAGAAAUCUUGCUGUCAAGCGGACAGUAGAAGAAGUUAUGAAAAAGUAUGAAAACAUAGUGGUGAGUUCAAGAAAAGAAAUUGCAAACAAUAAAAAGACUCCGGAAAGGCCGGUGAGUAACGUUCAUGCCCGUGCCUGAUAAAUUGUAUCAAAAAGGUAUCGCGCUUGGUAUGGAACAAUGUUAUUGUUUUGUUGUGUAAAGGAGGAGGGCCACCCCCACAAGACCUAUCCGACACAGUGAAAUUGGUACAAGAUAUAUUAGGGAAGGAUUCUCCUACUCUAGUCGGUAUUCCAGGCGUUCCUCAAAGCAGUUCGGGAAGCAGCCUACCUACUCAUAACUGGGAAGAUGUUCGAGUGACAAGCCCCACUCCCAGCAAUACAGCCCCAAGACGUUCGUUUGAGGAAAGAGGAUUGGAAACCACCAAGGCUACAUCAGGGCUGGCUGAACUUCAACGAGAAGUUCUUUUGCUGCAGAAGAGAAAAGCAGAGUUGGAGAUUUCUAAAAUAGAAAUGGAAAAGGAAAACUUGAAUAUGCAGAAUAUAGUUCUGCAAUACAAAAUUAACAAACUUGCUCGAGAUGGAUUAAUAACUUUACAACCAGUAGGGGAAGAGUAACACAAACUUUGAUCUGUUGAUAGGGUGUUUAUUAUUCAAAUGAUUUGUAAUAUACAAAUAUUUAAUAACUAUUUAACAAUACUAUACUAUAACAAUACCUAAUGUGAUUUGCUUACUGUAAAUGUUUUAUGGCUGUUUUAUGUAUAUAUUAGAGUCCUGAGUAAAGAAUGAAGUAUAUAGAAUAAAGUUUUGAUUUUACUUAUUUUUAAUUAUAAA